rnacentral:rRNA from 1 species
UACGUAGGUGGCAAGCGUUGUCCGGAAUUAUUGGGCGUAAAGCGCGCGCAGGCGGUCCUUUAAGUCUGAUGUGAAAGCCCACGGCUCAACCGUGGAGGGUCAUUGGAAACUGGGGGACUUGAGUGCAGAAGAGGAAAGUGGAAUUCCACGUGUAGCGGUGAAAUGCGUAGAGAUGUGGAGGAACACCAGUGGCGAAGGCGGCUCACUGGACCGGAACUGACGCUGAGGCGCGAAAGCGUGGGGAGCAUACGGG